rnacentral:lncRNA from 1 species
AUAUUAAAUAUUUUUAAAAAUAUUUUUCUACUUCAAAAUAAAAGCAGAGUGUGGCAACGCUACUUUAACUGUCACUUAAGAUGAUGUCUACUUUUAGGCACUGCGGCGAGCAGUUGUGCUUAGCAGUCAAAGUUGUCUGCAAGCAAAAAUUCACUGUUUAUUUGUUUUUAAAAUAAAAGUUAAUAAAAACACACCGUUAAAUUUUAUUAUUCAACAGAAUGAAAUGAAAUAUGUAAAAAAUGCGAGCAUAUGGUGCGUUUGUGUAAGAUUUGGAAGAAAAUAUGCCUAAGGCAAAUAUUUUUACGGAGAACAAGCUUUGGAGAAUCAAUGAUAAGCGCUGAACAGUUCUGACGCCAGCGUCCGAGCGAGUGAAUGGCUGUAAUGCGCCGGCGCAGCCAGACAAGUGAAUGUCCCCGUUCUUAUUACAAGAAGUAAAUGCACGCAAAAGUGCAGUGAAGUGACAAACUAAUAUACAUACAUAAGUAUAUUUGCACAUACACACAAACACAUGUACAAAUAAGAAAUAUAAAAAAAUAAGCACUGAGUGAUGCCUCAUUUAAGCAAAAGCAGCUGUCUGAGUUUCUGGCGAAAGGUGCAAAGUUAGUUAGGAUUCAAUAUAAAAGUGCAUACAUACAUACACAUACACAUCUGUAUACAUAUAGUGUUAUUAGUAGUGCUCGUGCAAUAAUCAUAAAGUGAGUUAGUGAGUGAAUAGUGUGCAAAAAGCGGGUGACCUAUAAUUAGCGUGAUAAAACUUAUAGAGUCUAUAUCUUUUGUGAAGAGUGCUAUUAAGUUGAAUUGGAACGCGUGAAGGAAAUUGUGCAAUAUUAAUUAAGCCGCAGAAGGCGAGCAUUUGCCGACAAUUACAUACAACCAAGACAAAGUUAUUGGAAGGAAACGCAGAGAAAAAUGUCAUUAAAGAAGGAGACUCCGUCCGAUGUGCUGUUGCAUCUGGCAGCGCUACGUGGCGAUGAAAUCAACCUGCGGCGCGUACUUGACAGCGGCAAAGUGCAUGUGGAUUGCAAAG